UCUGGAUCAACGUCAAUUAUAGUUGCGAUACUUCAAAAUGAUAGGCAAAUUAAAACACAACUUGCUUUUAGCAUGUUUAGUGAUUAGUUCACUCACAGUGUUUUAUCUUGGCCGGUAUGCAUUAGAAUGCCACCAUAAAAUAGAUCACAACGGGAAACUUCUACAGGUAUUAAGUAAUGGAAGAUCACUAAAUUAUGUUUCGGGAACUGGAUUAAAAAAUAAUUCGAACAGAUUUGUUUACAACAAAGACAUGCCAUUAAUAUUUAUUGGAGGCGUUCCGCGAAGUGGCACCACACUCAUGAGGGCUAUGCUCGAUGCUCAUCCUGAUGUUCGCUGUGGCGAAGAGACCAGAGUUAUUCCUAGAAUUCUAGCGAUGAAGCAUAUGUGGAGCAAAUCUGGCCGGGAGAAGCAGCGACUGGAUGAAGCUGGUGUUACGGAUGAGGUGCUGGAUUCAGCCAUGCAAGCCUUUUUACUAGAAAUUAUUGUUAAACAUGGGGAACCCGCUAAAUACUUGUGCAAUAAAGAUCCGUUUGCCCUUAAAUCGUUGACUUACUUAAGUAAAAUAUUUCCCAAUGCAAAAUUUAUUCUAAUGAUAAGAGAUGGCCGUGCUUCAGUUCAUUCUAUGAUUACUCGGAAAGUUACCAUAGCAGGAUUUGAUCUCAGCAGUUACAGAGACUGCUUGACCAAAUGGAACCGUGCCAUUGAGAUCAUGUAUAACCAGUGUUUAGAAACUGGGUUUAAUAAGUGUUUGCCAGUACAUUAUGAACAACUUGUUUUGCAUCCAACUACAUGGAUGAAAAAUGUUCUGAAGUUCCUAGACAUACCUUGGAAUACAGCAGUUUUACAUCAUGAAGAAAUGAUAGGAAAAGUUGGUGGUGUUUCACUUUCUAAGGUUGAACGAUCUACAGAUCAAGUCAUCAAACCUGUCAAUAUUGAAGCCUUAACAAAAUGGGUGGGGAAAAUUCCGCAUGAAGUAGUUCGCGAAAUGCCAGUGAUUGCCCCAAUGUUAGCAAAGCUUGGAUAUGAUCCAUAUGCAAACCCACCAAAUUAUGGAAAACCAGAUCCAGCAGUUAUUGAAAACACUAAAAGGGAAACAUCUCUAAUAUGACUGGCUGUUCAGCCAGCUUGAUGACAUCAAAACUAGUGGAUGCCAGAAUUGGCACAUUGUCAGUCGUAAGAGGUUUCUUUCAGCUACCAGAAUUUCUUCAAGAACAUCCGGAGGUUGAGAUAAAGAAGAUAUAAGAAAGGGUCAGAAAUGUUCCUCAAAAAGAUAUGCGCAAAACUAAAGAGUGAACAAGAUGUCUGUCGUCAUGACUCUCAAAAAAGCAAGCAGUUGUGAUCCUUUGUGUCUAGAACAGCAUUUUUGUUUUGCUUAUACAGAUUUUGUAAUAUACCAAUGUUGUGGUCACAUGAAUAUGAAAUAAAGCAAUUAUUAUUUUUGUAUAUUC